rnacentral:lncRNA from 1 species
UCGUUGUCCCGGCUGGCCGGGUUCUUCGUAAUGGUGUAAUGGUGCACCAUUACACCAUUAAUGGUGUAAUUACACCAUUAACGGUGCACGCGGCCCGCGGAGCGGAGCCGCGGGUGGAGCUCCGCCGGGCGCAGCACGAGGAGGGGGAUGACGACGACGGCGGCGGCAGGGUCUACUGCUGCUGCUGGAAGAGGAUGAGUGUGGCGGCGGCGGCGGCGUAGUUGGAGGAGCGAGGGGAGGGGAGGGCGAGGCUGGCGGAGACGGAGGGGAGGGAAGGGUUGACGGCGCGGAGCUCGUCGGGCUUGUGGGUGGACAC